AUUGAACGCUGGCGGCAGGCCUAACACAUGCAAGUCGAGCGGAUGAAGGGAGCUUGCUCCUGGAUUCAGCGGCGGACGGGUGAGUAAUGCCUAGGAAUCUGCCUGGUAGUGGGGGAUAACGUCCGGAAACGGGCGCUAAUACCGCAUACGUCCUGAGGGAGAAAGUGGGGGAUCUUCGGACCUCACGCUAUCAGAUGAACCUAGGUCGGAUUAGCUAGUUGGUGGGGUAAAGGCCUACCAAGGCGACGAUCCGUAACUGGUCUGAGAGGAUGAUCAGUCACACUGGAACUGAGACACGGUCCAGACUCCUACGGGAGGCAGCAGUGGGGAAUAUUGGGCAAUGGGCGAAAGCCUGAUCCAGCCAUGCCGCGUGUGUGAAGAAGGUCUUCGGAUUGUAAAGCACUUUAAGUUGGGAGGAAGGGCAGUAAGUUAAUACCUUGCUGUUUUGACGUUACCAACAGAAUAAGCACCGGCUAACUUCGUG
rnacentral:rRNA from 1 species